UACGUAGGGGGCAAGCGUUGUCCGGAUUUAUUGGGCGUAAAGAGCGUGUAGGCGGCCUGGAAGGUCAGCUGUGAAAACUCGAGGCUCAACCUCGAGACGUCGGUUGAAACCACUUGGCUAGAGUCCGGAAGAGGAGUGUGGAAUUCCAGGUGUAGCGGUGAAAUGCGUAGAUAUCUGGAGGAACACCGGUGGCGAAGGCGGCAUCCUGGACCGAUAUUGACGCUGAUGCGCGAAAGGCCAGGGGAGACAAAGCG
rnacentral:rRNA from 1 species